GUCGAACGGAUCCUUCGGGAUUAGUGGCGGACGGGUGAGUAACACGUGGGAACGUGCCUUUUGGUUCGGAACAACUCAGGAAAACUUGAGCUAAUACCGGAUGUGCCCUUCGGGGGAAAGAUUUAUCGCCAUUAGAACGGCCCGCGUCUGAUUAGCUAGUUGGUGGGGUAAAGGCCCACCAAGGCGACGAUCAGUAGCUGGUCUGAGAGGAUGAUCAGCCACAUUGGGACUGAGACACGGCCCAAACUCCUACGGGAGGCAGCAGUGGGGAAUCUUGCGCAAUGGGCGAAAGCCUGACGCAGCCAUGCCGCGUGAAUGAUGAAGGUCUUAGGAUUGUAAAAUUCUUUCYCCGGGGACGAUAAUGACGGUACCCGGAGAAGAAGCCCCGGCUAACUUCGUGCCAGCAGCCGCGGUAAUACGAAGGGGGCUAGCGUUGCUCGGAAUUACUGGGCGUAAAGGGAGCGUAGGCGGACUGUUAAGUUAGAGGUGAAAGCCCAGGGCUCAACCUUGGAAUUGCCUUUGAUACUGGAAGUCUUGAGUACGGAAGAGGUAUGUGGAACUCCGAGUGUAGAGGUGAAAUUCGUAGAUAUUCGGAAGAACACCAGUGGCUAAGGCGACAUACUGGUCCGUUACUGACGCUGAGGCUCGAAAGCGUGGGGAGCAAACAGGAUUAGAUACCCUGGUAGUCCACGCCGUAAACGAUGAGUGCUAAUUGUCGGCAUGCAUGCAUGUCGGUGACGCAGCUAACGCA
rnacentral:rRNA from 1 species